CCUACGUCACUUCCAAGCCUGAUGUUCCUCUAGCUGCAAUGUUUCCCUUCUGCCCACCCCAUCAUGCUUUCCAGCUAAGCAUGCUUGGCUCCUCCCAGGUAUUAUUUAGUCUAGAAACUCUUUGAGAUGGCAUCUGUCUAUCAUACCUUCGUAAAGCACUUCGUACAGUGGGAUCCAAUAUGGUUGCAGGAUUUAGGAGCUAAGACAAGGAAAUGGGACACAAGGAGUGCUAAAUCACUUGAAAGAGGUCAUCGUGAUUCUGUGGGAGCAUUUAAGGAAUUUGCUGUAUCUCUAGGAAAAUUUUGCAGAGCUCUCGCUCCUUGGGGGCUGGGCACGGAGAAAAAGUUUGUAUUAAACCAAAACAAACUCAGAUAUGCUUGAAAAUUGUCAAAGACUUCAAUAUCUCCAAAUGGAUGAGAACAGAUUUAAAUUGAUGAUGCUUUUGGGACAAUCCAAGAUUCAUGCAAUAUACUUAAAAUAAUCUAUUGCAGACUUGUUCUAGUUAACAAUGCAGUUCUAUAGGGAUGUUUUAGCAAAAGUUCUAAAUUGUACUGAUUUUCUGGCCAAAAAUCUAAGAAAUAAAGGACAUGCC